CUCGGUCUGCUUAAUUAUUUCCAGACACCCAAAACCUGAUCAGAAAGACUAGCUACUUUUUACUACUUUUAAUGCAAGAGAUCGAUUAUUCAGAUAUCUAUGCCAAUAGUAGCUAGUUUUGCUAGCCGGGUGUACUGUUCUUGUCCUAUUUUCCUAAAAAAUAGCUGGCGGACUUCCUCAUUGCUUUUCCUACUGAAUGGAAAUCAAGCAAGGUUCCUUUGAAGCAGAUUAUAUAUAUCCAUGUUCGUGCAGAUCUCAGCUUUGAUGCAGGCCGAAGCAGGCCGCUGAAGCUAGCGCGCGCGCACAGAUCAUACAUAAUAUAUAUGCAUAUUCAUGUACUUCGACAAAGAUAUGAAACAACGUUCGAAGCACCAACCAGAGAGAAGUAGAGCUGAAAUAUGUUGUUUGGGUUGGUGGUGCGUACAGCUCUUCUGGCCCAGAGUGGUGAUGCGCAAAUGGCUUAACAUCAGCACCAAGGACUCCGAUUUCAGCGCUGACGAGGACGACUUCGAUAUAGAUUCCGAUUCCGAUUCCGAUUCGGAGGCUGAAGGAUUUGGUCAACGGGGAAGACAGUCGCGGUUGGUGGGCAACAGAGGGGAUGAUGCUCAGGUUGAUCUUGAAGAUGAUCUUCCAAGGUUAAGAAGAAGAAGAAAAUCAGAAACUUUUAGGGCACAAUAUAUAAACAACGAGGAAGUCAGAAUAUGCGUCGGGACUUGGAAUGUUGGAGGGAAACUUCCACCUGAUGACCUAGAUAUUGAUGAUUGGCUAAAUAACAACGAGCCAGCUGAUAUAUAUGUGCUUGGUCUUCAAGAGAUUGUGCCAUUAAAUGCCGGGAAUAUCUUUGGUGCUGAAGAUAGUCGCCCAGUUCCAAGGUGGGAAAACAUCAUCCGUGAAACACUGAAUCGAAUCCGGCCCAAGGAAACAAAUAUAAAAUCCUUUAGUGAUCCCCCCUCUCCAUCAAAGUAUAAGCCAUCUGAUGAUAUCCCAGAUAUAGAAGAGGAGAUUUUUCUUGAAAGUGAUAGUGAUGUAGGUGAUGAAGUUCACCCAUUGGAUGAAGAAUCCAAUGAUUUUGAUGAAGGUAAGGAUAGAUCAAUCACAGAGCAAACCACAUAUGUGAAUUCUGGAGUUUCAGACUGUCCUGGAAGUGCCAUAUUAGGCUUUCCAGGAGAAGAAGAAUUACAGGGGCAAUUUUCUUCUCCAAAGAGGUUGGAUAGGUUAAAUUGUUUGAGGACAGAACAUUCAGAAAAUGUGGAAACACCAGUUGCUCGACACUCUGGUAAAUUAACCAAAAUUCUCAGUGGAUCAGAAAGGAUUGGUUUGAGCUGGCCAGAGCCUCCUUUAAACUUGCUAUCUCAGCGUGUAUUAGAGAGGCCUAAUUCCUUCAGAUCGGUUAAAUCUUUUAAAGCACCUAAAUCUUUCACGACAUAUAGUUCUUUCAAGUCAACUACAAAUGAAGUGCCUCCACAGAUAGCACUGCUUGCAGAAAUUGACCUCAAAUCUCUCUUGAAGAGGAAGCGAAGAUCACCAUUUGUAAGGAUAGUAAGCAAGCAGAUGGUUGGGAUUUUCCUCACUAUAUGGGUCCGUAGGAGUUUGCGUAGACAUAUUCGGAACUUAAAAGUGUCUACAGUUGGUGUUGGUGUUAUGGGCUACAUUGGUAACAAGGGAUCAAUAUCCGUCAGCAUGUCCAUACAUCAGACCUUUUUUUGUUUUAUAUGUACUCACCUGACAUCGGGUGAAAAAGAUGGAGAUGAACUAAAAAGAAAUACUGAUGUGCAUGAAAUACUUCGGAGAACUCGAUUUCAUUCGGUUUCGGAUAGUGGACUUCCCGGGGGCAUCCAUAAUCAUGAGUAUGCUAUCCAGAUGAAUGCAUCAGUUUCCAUCAAGUCUUUGAAGAAAAAUUUUCAACAUUUUGUAAUGCUUCAGCUUGGACAAGGAGAAUCCACAAAUAUAGGAGACUCGCAAUACAAACCAAUGGACUCAACUACAGCUCAUAGCAAUAUAAGAAUAAUUUGGUUGGGUGAUCUCAAUUACCGUAUAAACUUACCUUAUGAGAAAACACAAGAAUUAAUUUCCAACAAGGAGUGGUCUAAGUUGGUUGAAAAGGACCAGCUUGUACAAGAACUUAAAAAGGGCCGUGCAUUUGAUGGAUGGUCUGAGGGUACUUUAAGAUUCCCGCCUACAUAUAAAUAUGAGAUAAAUUCAGAAAAGUACUAUGGAGAGGAUCCAAAGGCUGGAAGGCGUACACCAGCAUGGUGUGAUCGUGUUCUUUCAUAUGGCAAGGGACUGAAGCUACUAAGUUACAGGAGGACCGAGCUUAAACUUUCAGAUCACCGACCUGUGACUGCCACAUAUAUGGCUGAGGUUGAGGUGUUUUCUCCCAGGAAACUACAGCGGGCACUCACAUUCACUGAUGCAGAGAUCGAAAGGGAAGAUGUAUAGCAAAUAUGGGUAUUGAUGCUGGAAUAAGCAGCUUAAUAUUGGGAGAGGCCUGAUUCUGGUGCGUUUCAUUUGGUGAUCUGAUGGGUUUGGUCAUGCUAUGGCAAGAUUGGUCAUCUUAUGUGUAAGCUGAGACCAGAACUAAGCUUGAAAAUGAGAUUGAGCCAUAUUCUAGUUCUCCAUAGCUAAGGAAAUACAUGAUUAGAGCAUUAAGGGAGGAUUUCUUAACACUUGAGUGGCUUUGGGUGAGAGAUCCGCCAACUUGGGAAAUUCUCAAUAGCAUUACUACAUUUCACGUGCAUUCUUUCAAUUUCAUUUAUUGGUCAUUGAUAUUGUAUAUUCCAGUUAGUGUGUAAAGGUCUUAGCUAUAGGAGUUUUACCAAUAGGUCUCAUAGAGCAUAUCAGUUCUGAAGGCAGGUUCACACAAGUGGAUUACUGUAAGUAGUGUGUAUUGGAGAUCACAGCUACGAGUGGAAAGUUUUCUCUAGUUGCUUAGAAAGUAUGCCUUGUAAAAGACGUUUGAUGCAUAUUCUCAUUAGAUAUUGCUGCCAUAUGCAGAUUUGUGCUA